rnacentral:rRNA from 1 species
GGCGGUGACCGCCUAACUAAAGCAUAUCAAUAAGCGGAGGAAAAGAAACCAACAGGGAUUGCCUUAGUAACGGCGAGUGAAGCGGCAAUAGCUCAAAUUUGAAAUCUGGCGCUUGCGUCCGAGUUGUAAUUUGUAGAGGAUGAUUUUGGUUAGGUACCUUUCGAGUUCCUUGGAACAGGACGCCUUAGAGGGUGAGAGCCCCGUACGAUUGGAUGCCGAGCCUCUGUAAAUCUCCUUCGACGAGUCGAGUAGUUUGGGAAUGCUGCUCUAAAUGGGAGGUAAAUUUCUUCUAAAGCUAAAUACCGGCCAGAGACCGAUAGCGCACAAGUAGAGUGAUCGAAAGAUGAAAAGCACUUUGAAAAGAGGGUUAAAUAGCACGUGAAAUUGUUGAAAGGGAAGGAUUUAUGACCAGACUUUUUCUAGGAGGAUCAUCCGGUGUUCUCACCGGUGCACUUCUUCUAGUUUAGGCCAGCAUCGACUUCUGGCGGCGGAUAAAAGCUUUAGGAAUGUGGCUCCCUACGGGGAGUGUUAUAGCCUAUUGUAUAAUACGCUGCUGGGGGUCGAGGUACGCGCUUCUGCAAGGAUGCUGGCGUAAUGGUUAUCAAUCACCCGUCUUGAAACACGGACCAAGGAGUCGAACAUUUAUGCGAGUGUUUGGGUGUUAAACCCUCACGCGUAAUGAAAGUGAACGGAGGUGAGAGCCCUUACGGGUGCAUCAUCGACCGAUCCUGAAGUUUUCGGAUGGAUUUGAGUAAGAGCAUAACUGUUCGGACCCGAAAGAUGGUGAACUAUGCGUGGAUAGGGUGAAGCCAGAGGAAACUCUGGUGGAGGCUCGCAGCGGUUCUGACGUGCAAAUCGAUCGUCAAAUCUGCGCAUGGGGGCGAAAGACUAAUCGAACCAU